CCGUGAGUGAUCAACCGCUUGAGCAAGCUAUGGAGCUUGAGUAGCUCAUUGGAAUUGGUGUUGGUUUUGGAGUAGAGUAUUGUUGACAUUGGUGGUGAACAAAGGUCGAAUUGAAGCUUGAGGUAAGGAUGCUGCAGGAGCCUCUGGUGGCAAGUGGCCAUAUCUGGAUUAUGCAUGAAAUGUGGCAUUUCUUUUGAGAUUGUACAUGUUGUUUUGUAGCU